UGGGGACACAGACAAGUAGAAAGGCAACUGCAAGACACCGUGCAUUGAAAGGGAAGUACAGAGGAGGGGCACUAAACUGGAUAUGGGAUUCAGGAAAGGCUUCCUGGAAAACAUGGAGUGUUGGCUGAGAUCUGAAGGAAAAUAAAGGAUCUAAACCCCUUUGAGCACUCAGAUACCAGGCCAACGAAAGCUAGAGAAUCGAUGCUGAUCCUUCAUCACUUCAACCUGGAUUCUGCCAACUUAAGAUGACUUUUGCCCCAAUGUCAUGCUACAUUCCCCAUUGUGCAAGCCCUUUA